CUACUACUCCCUCCAUUCGGAAUUACUUGUCGUAGAAAUGGAUGUAUCUAGAUGUAUUUUAGUUCUAGAUACAUCCAUUUUCGAGACAAGUAAUUCCGAACGGAGGGAGUAUGUG
rnacentral:pre_miRNA from 1 species